AUGGACAGGAGAUACGUUUGCAGGCCCAAACCGCCUAACCUAUACUCAAAAGAUUAUUUAUUUUGACUCAAUACUUAACCCGCCCGACAUAACAAGACUGCUUACCUGAAUCCAUCAUUGCAUUAGAUUUUUCAAAAGUUGUUCUCGGAAUAGUUCGAUAUGGGUUUUGAAACAUAAUUCUUCCAGUUCUACCCUCGUGGAUUGUAGGGUUCCGGGGGAAGAAAGAGAGAAAGGGAAAGCUGAUGGGGUUGCAGCGGCGCCACGGCCCUACGGCGCGUCACCUCCUCCUCUGUUUCUUUACCUUUUAGUUACACAGCUCGCUCUUCUUUAGCUCGGUGUUCUACGACUUUUGUGAACGGCAUUAAUGGCGUCUCAUGGCGGCGAUGGUCGUUGGUUGCUUGCCAGGGUUGAUAUUGUUGUUCUGUUGCUACUUCAAGUUAGAAUAGGAGUUUUUUUUUUCAACCCUAUGCAGUUGAUUCAGGCGUUGUAGAGGAUAUUUUAGGUUGUGAUUCAAGUUGACAUUUAGUUAGCAAGUAAUCCGACAAGUCAUACUCUACAUUGAAUCCAUAGUUGCUACGUACAAUGUAAUUAAUCAGGUGUUGCUUGGCGAGAUCCAAAGAGUAUCCUCGAGGGAAGGUAGGGCUGCCAUUAAACUUCAUUGAUAAUGGGUUUUUCAACAGUGUAUGACAUCAGAUUAUGAUGCAAUAUCCACCAUAUUUGAUGUUCAUAAAUAUGCCAAAACACCAAAAGAUGCAGUUGCAGAAGUGGUUAAAGCAGGUGACAGAGGAUGGACGACAAAGAAAUAUAAACUCUUAGGCUGGAAGGAGCUAUACCACCAAUAGAAGUCCAACUUCUACGCUGCUGGAUUCCCGCCUUUAGAGACGUCAAAACAUGUUACACACUGGUCAACUGACAGGCGUUUAAGGUUGCUUCUAUUGUGUUGGCUCCGGGUCCGGGUCCUCAACACCUCCCUUCUUUGCCUCUACAACACUAGAGCACGUGUCCUUCUUUCAAGGCCUUCAACCUGGACUAUAUCAACAAUUUUAGCUCAAGGCAGUUGCAAACUUUUUAUCUGGAGUUAUCACCAGCAAAGAGAGUACUAAAGUAUACGCAACCUAUGGUAAAUGCAGUUGAAAAGUCAGAAAUGCUAAAACAUCAUGACAAAGAAGGUGGGGACCUUGACGUUACAUGUCGAACUCACGUCACGAUUAUAAGUCACGAGAAUCAGUUGGUGAUUUAACACCAGAAUUCUACAAUGACAUCCUCUUCUUUGUUGUAAUCGACAUAUUAGAAGAUUUUGACAUCAGCAAAAAAGCUUGAGCACGCC